CAGCAGCCGCGGUAACACAGAGGGUGCGAGCGUUAAUCGGAUUUACUGGGCGUAAAGCGUGCGUAGGCGGCUUCUUAAGUCGGAUGUGAAAUCCCUGAGCUUAACUUAGGAAUUGCAUUCGAUACUGGGAAGCUAGAGUAUGGGAGAGGAUGGUAGAAUUCCAGGUGUAGCGGUGAAAUGCGUAGAGAUCUGGAGGAAUACCGAUGGCGAAGGCAGCCAUCUGGCCUAAUACUGACGCUGAGGUACGAAAGCAUGGGGAGCAAACAGGAUUAGAGACCCGUGUAGUCCCUGUCUCUUAUAC
rnacentral:rRNA from 1 species